AUUUAAAAUGUCAUCUUAGCACGCUGUAAAUAAUUUUCAGUGAUUCUAUCAAGAGUUAUUUUUUAUCAGCUAAGAAAUACCCAUUUGAAUUUCUGAAAUAAAUAAAAUAAAGCUAAGUAGAAGGGGGUUUCAGCAUCAGAGUCUGAGUUAAUACAGACUGGAUCUGGUAUAAUUUUAAAGCCACUCAAGUUAAACUUAACACAUCAUAAACAGUACUCAACAAGUAAUGCUUGGAAGUAUUUGAAGAUAUUUUUAGGAGUGCUCCCCCCAAAGUCCUGGAUUUACCGUUUUGUAAAGCAGUCUUGCAUGAAGCCACAGACACUGGAGUUUGUGAACCAAUCUGUACCUGGUACCUCUUUGCCCUGAGCCUCAUGGGUCCCAUGGGCCCCAGAACAAUCUGUAUUCCCCUGCUUGAAGAUGAUAGCAUAAUGUCAGUGUACUUAAAAUUCAAUUUCAUUCUUCCUCAUCUGUGCUCCAUUAUGCAAGCCUUUGAGACAGUCUCCAAAGAAGAAAAUCAAUGAAGCUAAUACCCUUGUUAGUUUUAGAGAUUCUACGACAGCAGUUUCAUGUCAUCAUAGAACCAUCACAAGGUUUGUAGGCUCAGCACUCAAAGCUUGCAGCCCUUGACUGACUGAAGAUAACAACAGUCCUCUCUUUAGUUAUCCUGCGUUCAGAGAGGGCAAGUUGUAUUCAGAUUACAUUUUCCAUGUAUCCGUUUUCUCCAAAGUGUAAAAGUCUCCAGAUAAUGCUCAGACUUCACCAUAAAAUGCCUAAGUGCUUGUGAUCAAGUUCAUUACACAAACGCAAUUUGCAGUUUGGGAGAAGUCUAAAGAAAUAAAACCAAGAGGAAUCAGCAAGGGGAGGGGGCUGCUUGAUGGAGAACACCUGCCAACCAAAAAAACCCCAGAAUCUGCUAUUUAAGACUGUAAGUCACACUGGCUUUCUGCGCACCAUCCAAACACGAGCCUUCCUUUUUAUAAGAAGCAGCUGCCUCUGAUUUGCGACAAGAUUAAAGCUUUUUGGAAUCUCUCUCCAGAUAUCCAAGUUCUGAUAGAAUGUCUGCUGUGUCAUUAUCAAAUAUAACAAGACUGCAAUAUGGCUCCAGAGUCAAUGAACCAAAGGCUGGAAUCUUCUUCUAAUUAUAUAAUAUGAAACUUCUUGUAAUUCUGAUGCCAUGAAUUUGGAAUUUGUGAUUAAUAUGGGUUAGACUGCUAAGCAAGCGUUUUCGUUGUAGAUACUGCAAAUAGUGUUUCAAAAAUAAGAUGGCAAGAAUAAUGCUGAAACUAUGUUCAAAACAGUUUUCAAGCCCCCCUCAAAGGCUUUAGAAGCCACAAUUAGCAUGAAAAUAUUUGUGGUUCUUUUUAUAGUUAUUUUAUAGCCCUUUUUUCUGGCUUCUCUUGAAAGUGGCAUUCUCAGCUUCUAAUUAACCAAGUCCACCUGGAUAUUCCAGACAGUGUGAACUGAUUUGCCCCUAACAGGAUUGGACAUUUCUCUUUGCUUCUCAUUGUCUGUCUUCCUGUUUUCCCUCUUUCCAUGAAAGGACUCAUCUUUGACAUCUAAAAGAGAAAUCUGAAAAGCAAUCAAGGACCAUUGGUUAAUGUUGACACUGUUUCGGAAAUAUCUUUCUAACUUGACUCCUCUCCUCUAGAAUUCAGCUUGUCACUGCUUCCUCCCCACUCACUGGACCCCUGAAAGGCCUCCCACUCCACCUACCAGGAUCUCUGGUCCCAGAGACACCCUCCUGAAUAAAACAAAGCAUCAGAUCAUAUUGGAAACUGUCCUUGGACUCACAUCACCCAUCAGUUAUUACACCAAGUCAUCAGCAUCAUGGGCUGAGAAGGCUCUGGACACAAAGAUGAUGUAGACAAGUCUGAGCAGACACCAAAGCAGAAAUGCCUGUGUUCUGUUUGAGUGAAGGCAGAAGACCAAGCAGGCUCAAAAAGUUUUUAUUAGUGAUAUUUAUACAAAAUGGGUCAUAGACAUGAAGGGGGUCCAGACUACGGGAGACUUGAAAAUCAGCCUGAGACUUUUUGACUUUAUCCCUCCAUCCACGAGGAGCCAUGGCAUGUCAUGAGCAGAAAAGGCAGAUGGAAGCAAUGUCCAAUUGUUAACACCAAUCCCCUCCCAUAUGUGUGUGUGUGUGCUCAGUCAUUCAGUUGUGACUGACUCUUUGCAACCCCAUGGACUGUAGCCCACCAGGCUUCUCUGUUCAUGGAAUUUUCUUUACCCCUGCACCACUUGGGAGGCCCAGUCCCCUCCCCUACCACCACACAAACAACUGAAUAAUAUCAUCAGGUUACUGGUUAUUUUCGCUAGUAACUACUUUGUCUCUCUUAGAAAAAAAAAAAAAUGAGAGAGAGAGACUGACAAGUAACUAUUUGUUUCCCUUUAAUACACUUUGAAUUUUUAAGUAACAGUUUAUACUGGCUCUACAAACAUAAGCUCCAUGCCAGGGAUUCACAAUAUGUUAGUAGUAGGCUAUAAUUUUGGAGAAGGCAAUGGCACCCCACUCCAGUACUCUUGCCUGGAAAAUCCUAUGGAUGGAGGAACCUGGUAGGCUGCAGUCCAUGGGGUCGCUAAGAGUCAGACACGACUGAGCGACUUCACUUUCACCUUUCACUUUCAUGCACUGGAGAAGGAAAUGGCAACCCGCUCCAGUGUUCUUGCCUGGAGAAUCCCAGGGACGGGGGUGCCUGGCAGGCUGCCGUCUAUGGGGUUGCACAGAGUCAGACAUGACUGAAGUGACUUAGCAGCAGGCUAUAAUUUAACUGGGAUGCUUCUUUCUCCAGAGGCUACAAAAAUAGAAACAUAGUACAUCACCAGAUAAAAUACUAAAAUAUUAAUGAGGGAAUAUCAUUUCUUUGAACCAAAAAUAUGGUGAAGAAUGCAUUAAUGAGGGUUUCAAACUUACACGCCAGAAAGUCUAAGGCCUUUUCCAAAAUGCUAAUUGUUUGAAAUUAGAAUAAGAUGUGUUUAAUACCUAUAGAUCUCAGAGUUGGUCCAUAGACCAUCAGAGUUGGUCUAUAGGUAUUUUCCUAAACAGUGAUGAACAAUCCCAACGUGUAAUUCCCGAGAAGCUCAGAAUGACCACAGCCAAAUUGAUUCCUCUCCAAAACUCUACCUCCAUUAAGGGUAAUAGUAUUCACCUGUUCACCUAAACUGGAAAUGAGGUCAUCAUCCUUGUCUCCUGAGUCUCUCCCUAAACUCUUGCAUCUGUGGGUUUCCCAAUGGCCGUUACUUAUUUCCAACAAGUCUGCCUGAAUCAGCCCUGCUCAACACUCCCCACCAUCACUGCCUUAUCAUCAAUCUCCUAAAACAUUUCAGUAGCCUUUUCAGUGAGUCUAACAGCCAGCUGCUAUCUGCUAGUAUGACCACUCCAGAAAUUCACCACCCUGCUUUCUUUCUCUACUUGCUGAUGUGUUCAGUCAUGGCCAACUCUCUG
ensembl:lncRNA